rnacentral:lncRNA from 1 species
CAUGCUCCAAAACGUCUGUUAGUCUAUAAGGUGCCACAGGAUUCUUUGCUGCUUUUACAGAUCCAGACUAACACGGCUACCCUCUGAUUGUUGAGAUGGCUUCCUUUCAGGUAUAUGCAAGAGAAUUGAUUUUUCUUUUCUAACCAGCAGAUCUAAAGUCUUCAACUUAGACUAACUGAAUGGCAAAGCAAAGGAAGAGUAAGAAGCAAAGGACAAAUAUAAACUGACGUUAAUUUUUUUUUUAAUUACAGGUAAUGGGACAUUGAUCGGAGCAUCUGCAAAUGUGGUUUGUGCAGGAAUUGCAGAACAGCAUGGCUAUGGCUUCUCUUUCAUGGAGUUUUUCAGAUUUUAGUGACUGCUCCUGCUGCUCCCUGAUACCUGGUAUCUCUUCGUGCUCCUAAGCAAAUGCCAUUUCCCUUCACUUGGACACAUACCAGCUUCUGUCAGACGUAAGUCUCGCCAAAGCCUCUUAAACGUGGUCAAGUGGUCC